ACCAUGGACCCACGUUGUCGGA
rnacentral:siRNA from 1 species